UGGAAAUCAGAGUGAAUGUUCUUGAAAGA
rnacentral:piRNA from 1 species